AUGCAGCAGAGCAGGGGCACUGGAUCUUGCCUCGGCGGCCGCAGGGGGAGGACUGAUGGGGCGGAUCUGGCGGCGCCGCGGGCGGACGCUCACCCGAAGCAGGAGCGCCGCAUCGCUUCUGAUUUUGACGUGGCCUGUAAGUUCAUUAGUAAUCUACACACUUCGUAUUACGCUGUAUUACAGUGUCACAACCAGCUUUGUGCUUGCAUUUCUUGGCAUCUUUUACUCUUACUAAUGGCACUUCUCCUUGAAGCUGCUUACACAAUAGAAUUCAUGCUCAUUAUAGCCUGGAUGUUAUGUUUUUGUUUAGCAUGUUGUCAGUUUCCAUAUAUGGAUUGA
rnacentral:rRNA from 1 species